CUUACUCUUAUUUGUAUUGAUGUCAUCCUUCUAUUCUCUAUUUUGCAAUCUUGUUGUUGUGGGAAUUUUUACUUUUAUGGAAAUGACUAUACAGCUUUGAAAUUUAAAACGGUAGCUAGCAGUUGAUUAUUGCUUUUUAUUAGGCGGAAGCAAGCCAUGGAGAGGUGCCGGGCCAACUUCUUUAUGCUGCCAAAGUUGUGGCUGAAAAAGAAGGCAUCCUUGAUGGAUUUCGUGCUGUUAUCAACGACGGUCGUGGUGCUUGUCAAUCUCUCAAUCAUUUGCAGUUACAUGUCCUGGGUGGAGGAUGGAUGAAAUGGCCACCUGGUUGAAAGAUUUGAAUAAAUUCAUCUUGAAGCUUGAUGACACCAUUUUCUUUUUUUUUUUCCCAUCACUUUCUUGGAUUAUUUCUAUACUCAGAUCUGUUAAAGUUGUAAGCUGCAACGACUUCUUUUGAU